GACGAACGCUGGCGGCGUGCUUAACACAUGCAAGUCGGACGAAGUGGCUAACGGGUGAGUAACGCGUAAUCAACCUGCCCUUCAGAGGGGGAAACCAGUUCGAAACGACUGCUAAUACCGCAUACUGAAGGAGGGGAUUGCGUCUGAUUAGCUAGUGGGAGGGGUAACGGCCCACCAAGGCGAUGAUCAGUCGGCCGUCUGAGAGGAUGAACGGCAACAUUGGGACUUAGACGCGGCCCAGACUCCUACGGGAGGAAGCGGUGGGGAAUCUUCCGGAAUGGACGAAAGUCUGACGGAGCAACGCCGCGUGAGUGAUGACGGCCUUCGGGUUGUAAAGAUCUGUUAGUCGGGACGCGGUACCGGAAUAGAAAGCCACGGCUAACUACGUGCCAGCAGCCGCGGUAAUAC
rnacentral:rRNA from 1 species